rnacentral:rRNA from 1 species
UUGAACGCUGGCGGCAUGCUUUACACAUGCAAGUCGAACGGCAGCGGGGGCUUCGGCCUGCCGGCGAGUGGCGAACGGGUGAGUAAUAUAUCGGAACGUACCCUAGAGUGGGGGAUAACGUAGCGAAAGUUACGCUAAUACCGCAUACGAUCUACGGAUGAAAGUGGGGGCUCGCAAGACCUCAUGCUCAUGGAGCGGCCGAUAUCUGAUUAGCUAGUUGGUGAGGUAAAGGCUCACCAAGGCGACGAUCAGUAGCUGGUCUGAGAGGACGACCAGCCACACUGGGACUGAGACACGGCCCAGACUCCUACGGGAGGCAGCAGUGGGGAAUUUUGGACAAUGGGGGCAACCCUGAUCCAGCAAUGCCGCGUGAGUGAAGAAGGCCUUCGGGUUGUAAAGCUCUUUUGUCAGGGAAGAAACGGUGAAGGCUAAUAUCCUUUGCUAAUGACGGUACCUGAAGAAUAAGCACCGGCUAACUACGU